AACCCAGCAUGAGGACAUUUUAUGUACAUCUCAUUAUACCGUUCCCAAGCUUCAUGUUAAGACUUGUUUGCCUUUUGAGCAAAAGCCAAUAUCUCUUUCUUGAGUGC